rnacentral:rRNA from 1 species
GCUUGCUUCUUUGCUGACGAGUGGCGGACGGGUGAGUAAUGUCUGGGAAACUGCCUGAUGGAGGGGGAUAACUACUGGAAACGGUAGCUAAUACCGCAUAACGUCGCAAGACCAAAGAGGGGGACCUUCGGGCCUCUUGCCAUCGGAUGUGCCCAGAUGGGAUUAGCUUGUUGGUGGGGUAACGGCUCACCAAGGCGACGAUCCCUAGCUGGUCUGAGAGGAUGACCAGCCACACUGGAACUGAGACACGGUCCAGACUCCUACGGGAGGCAGCAGUGGGGAAUAUUGCACAAUGGGCGCAAGCCUGAUGCAGCCAUGCCGCGUGUAUGAAGAAGGCCUUCGGGUUGUAAAGUACUUUCAGCGGGGAGGAAGGGAGUAAAGUUAAUACCUUUGCUCAUUGACGUUACCCGCAGAAGAAGCACCGGCUAACUCCGUGCCAGCAGCCGCGGUAAUACGGAGGGUGCAAGCGUUAAUCGGAAUUACUGGGCGUAAAGCGCACGCAGGCGGUUUGUUAAGUCAGAUGUGAAAUCCCCGGGCUCAACCUGGGAACUGCAUCUGAUACUGGCAAGCUUGAGUCUCGUAGAGGGGGGUAGAAUUCCAGGUGUAGCGGUGAAAUGCGUAGAGAUCUGGAGGAA